AGUUAGGAAGCCGUAGUAGAUGCUCAUUAAGGGUUAUAGAAGCAGAAAUUAGUUAAAACUACUAAAACUAUUUUUACUUCUAUAAGCCUUCGAAGGCCCUUUAAGCAUAGGAUUCGCUUUUUGUUUAAAAGAAAAAAAAAAUUAUUGUGGAAGAGAACCAAUACAUAACAGUAGUAAGAAUGUUAUCUAUUUAUCAAUGUCUACUUUCAAAUAGGACGAGUUGUGGACUUAUAUUAGCUUCUCAGCAGGACUUUUAUGUACAGUCAAGGAGUGGUGAUGCAAGUAGUAGAAGCACGUCUCCUAUAUGAGAAACGUCCAUUUAUACGAUAAGUCUUGACUCAGUUUGCAUGCUUUUUAUAUAAUAUAAAUGCCUUUUUUUUAUUUUUACUAUUAAAAUAAAGUUUAAUCCUGAUAUAAGUUUCUUGAGUAUGAUCAUUUUUAAUUUGGCGGGUAAAAUGUAUAUAUAGGCCUAUAUA